GAUGAACGCUGGCGGCGUGCCUAAUACAUGCAAGUCGAGCGAACAGACGAGGAGCUUGCUCCUCUGACGUUAGCGGCGGACGGGUGAGUAACACGUGGAUAACCUACCUAUAAGACUGGGAUAACUUCGGGAAACCGGAGCUAAUACCGGAUAAUAUAUUGAACCGCAUGGUUCAAUAGUGAAAGACGGUUUUGCUGUCACUUAUAGAUGGAUCCGCGCCGCAUUAGCUAGUUGGUAAGGUAACGGCUUACCAAGGCAACGAUGCGUAGCCGACCUGAGAGGGUGAUCGGCCACACGAGAGGUGAGACGCGGUCCAGACUCCUACGGGAGGCAGCAGUAGGGAAGCUUCCGCAAUGGGCGAAAGCCUGACGGAGCAGCGCCGCGUGGGUGAUGAAGGUCUUCGGAUCGUAAAACUCUGUUAUUAGGGAAGAACAAAUGUGUAAGUAACUAUGCACGGCUUGACGGUACCUGAUCAGGAAGCCACGGCUAACUACGUG
rnacentral:rRNA from 1 species